UCUAUGCGCAUGAGGAGGUGCGGCGUGGCCCUCUACGGCCACCAUGCGCCCCUCACGUCCCGCAUGAGCGAACAAAACGCGCGCUUCUCUUCUCCUUUCGACGCGGUGGCGGUGCCUGCGAGGUAUGCACCCACGCGCUGGUGUAGCGGUAUCAGGAGCCACCGUAGCAGCUGUUGACACCCUCUGCCUGAGCGGCCUGAAGCCUUGUGGUUGGUUCUCCGUAGCGUUGCCCAUACGCCGGCCAGCUGCGCGCGUGCGGUUCUUUCGGGCCGUGAACGACCGGAGCGCUGCCGCACGUCGCUGGCGCAACGCCGCCUUGUAGCCGGUCGCCUGUCCUUGGCUACGGUUGAGGACUCUUGGUGUCGGCAGGACAGGUCUGUGCCGGCGCUGUGCCGAAGAGACCUGCGGUCAUGAUGACGCUCGUACCACCUCGCUACGAAUAUUGUUGAUGAUGCAGCACAUGUACGCGUGCUACGAGCUCUUUGCGCGCUGGCGCAUGUCUCUCCGUGGCCACAAUCCGCUGAAGACACCCACGCCUUGAAAAGCGUGCGGAUUCAGGAGAAGGCGGAGCGGCAGUGCCGCCGGAGACUCGUAGCAGCGACCCGCCUGCCACAGCACACGCGGGCAGGCCAUCCAGACAGCCAUUUCGUGCUGAGGCAGGUCCCAGAAUCGGCGAACGCGAGCACCGUGCGCACGCGGUGCCAAGCACAGCCAGCAUGGUGUGUCACAUCCAGACAAGACUUGCAGCCGUCAGAAGCACGCGAGCGAUCGCCGAGCGAGGCGCGGCAUGUGCAGCACCUCCUCCAGACUCCACUGUAGAGAGUCACCGCACCACCUUGUGGAGUGCCGCAGCUUGAGGCGGCUAAGGGUGAAGCACGGCAUACGCAGGCAGGAUGUGCAGGAUCUCCGAGGGCCCUGGCCUGUAGCUGGCCUACCUCCCCCCUGAACUCGUCCGGCAUGCACCUAGGCCACCACCCCCUGUUAUCCGCACAGCCGACGCCACCGCCUCCGACCUCGAGCAGGACCGUGGAUGCGGCCCGCAUAGAUCAAGGCGUGCAGCGCACCCGAGUGUCCGUCUGGCGCCGAUGGCGCAGCGUGCGUACGAAGAAGGAACAAGGAAGAACACGAAGAGCCCGCUCGACGCAUGGCCCCGGUUCGUCGGCAAGACGGCUCGCCCGAGACAACGCAGGAUGUAGCCGCGGUGCAACAGAUGCAGGGGUGGGUGCGCUGUGGUUGUAGUUGUGUGUGUGUGUGUGUGUGUGUUGGCUUGUUGCGUGGUGGUCGAACGGGCAAGUUGGAGAAAGCAACGAGGCUCCAUCUGGAGGCACCCAGCGAUCCACUGGUCUCUGGUGUGCAAAAUCCGGUGAAGCUGUGGCAUCCGGUCACCGUGCUUGGCAGGGACGCGAUACCGGGGUGAGAGGCGGGACCAUCGAGUUGAUGAUUUGCAGUGAGCGCAGGUGUGGAAAGACGCCAGUCGGCCCCAGCGGAGCAGCACCCC
rnacentral:misc_RNA from 1 species